GCUUCAAGAUGUAACUCUUUGGACUUGAAUAUGAAGAGAAAAGGGAUAAAAAGGCCCCUUCAAGGCUGAAAUUUCAUGACGUGGACUGUGUAGUCUAUGACUGCUUCCAAGAAAACAGAAUUGACCCCUGUUGUACCAUGAUUUUUCUGACAGUGAAAUGGGAAGGCCAUGAGGUCAGGCAACCAGAAGCUACAACUCCCCAGAAGGUGUUUUCCUGGACAAGAUCUGAGAACUAAAUAUAAACUGAGCAAGACACUGCAUUCCUACAGAGUCCUCCAGUUGUCUGGGCAGAAAUCAAAAACACAGGAUGCCUACUCAGCCACAAGGGACAGCUGGUGCAUGAGACGGCAUCAAGUACCUUACAAAGAUUUACAUUUGGAGCAUUCAUGGAAUUUUCAAUGUAUCCGGAGACCUUAAGCUAAGCAUCAGGAAGACAGAAGGAAAUCAUGCAUGGUCACUCAGAAGAGGCAAAAACAUAAUGAGGUGAUUAGAACCUGAGGAACUCAAAACAGAGACAACUAUACAGACUAAGAUAGAAACAGCAUAAAAUGGUAAAAAGAGAAUCUAGAAGGAUUCACAGAAGAGAAAGCAUUUAAGGUUGGCUUUGACUGACAAGAAGCUCAUGGCAUGAUGGCGUGGGAGACAGAGCAAGUGAUGACCAAAGGUAAGAAUGUGCUUCAUGCUUGUGGAAAAUUCUGGAUUGUUAGAGUUUCCAUUUAUGAUACACCCUCUCAAAUCACCCUUUCUCAGCUCUCAAUACUAUAAUCAUCUCCUUGGUCACUCACACCAAAUCCCUACUAGUCACAUUUGGGUUUUUUUUUUUUUAUGUUUUUGUUUUUUGUUUUUUGUUUUCUUUGAGACAG